UUUGCCACGUACGCACCGACACUGUAACGACCACUUGUCACUCUCGCUUCUCGAAUCUCAAUGUGAACCUCUCAAACUACAUUCCAAAUCAGAAAAUACAUCAAAUUUGAAAACCGAAAAAAUUAAAAAAAAAAAAAAAAGCCACCUCUCCCGGCCAGCCCCUAAAAGCCCCCGUCCGAAACAAGCUCGGUCACGUUUAUUUUCUCUCUCUGAAACUACAACUAAAGCUAAAUUUUUUUCUUUCCAAAAGUGCCAACCAUCACAAAAGUACCUUUUCUUUUGCAUCUGUUCAAAUUUCGUAUAUCUCGAUUUUGAAUCUGUGAAAUGUGCUUUUGGAGAACGAUUGAAGAUAGAAACAAAGAAGAAGAGGUUACGUAAGAGUUAGGAUUUAGUUUUUCUUAAUAUUUUUUUGGAGCAAAAAUAUGAGAUUGUUACUGAUGAAUCAAGUUCGGCGAUGGCAAAGGAUCAUGAUUCUCUCCUUGCUCUCUGUUUCGAUGCUCGCUCCGAUUGUGUUUGUCUCAAGCAGACUUAAAACCUUCAGUCCCGUCAGUAUGCUUCCGUAAACAUACUCGUGAUUCAAAUAGUUUUCUCUCUGUGAUGCGUAUAUGAAUAUUUAAAUGAGAGAAGAAAGCUUUAGUGACGAUGGUGUACCUCACACACUGGAAUUGAUGAUAUAUAUCUAGUCAGAUUUAAUCAGAUGUCGACGAUUUGAAUAACGAUCGUGUUUGGAAAGAAAGAGUUCAUGGCUGACUUGUCUACUACCGUAUGAGUCUAUUCUUUUUGAAUCUCAGUUUCCUAUUUGCUUCUUACUCUGUUUGUUUUCUGGCAAAAUAGAGAAAUUGUAAUACCUCUAGGUAAUAAAAAGGCUAAUUUGGUCAUUUUGUUAAUAUUUAGUAUGUUAUUUAUUGCUCAAAUAAUUGGAUUUAAA